ACAGGGUAUGAUCAGAGGGAUUAGGCUGAAUACAUGAUGUAUGAUAAUUGUAAUAAACAAGACUGUAAUCUGGAUAAAAGACAGUGAUCACAUCCUAAGUGUUUAAUAGCACAGACUUAAUUAGCACAGUGUUAACACGCAGCUGCUCCUGUUUCACUGUCUCUACAGUCAUUUGGAAAACUGGGAGCUGGAAAAUGAGAUGUUGACGGUGGAAAUCCAUCGUGUUCCAUAUCAGCACCAACUUCUCCAACAUGAUCACUGGAGAGUUCUUCUCCAGGUCUCUGACCAUCCAGGCAAUUACCACCUCACAACACCAGCUGCUGUGUUCUCUGAGCGACAUAUCAACACAGGUGCUGUCCUCAGGCAGGAAGGUGGCAGUCCAGUGCUGGCUGGGACUCUACUCUGUGGUGUGUCAUCAGUGCCCUGGUCCAGUUUGGCACCGACUGCCUAAUGACAAUGACAGCGACUGCUCUUAGAGGCCCGACCGGUUUUCUGCACAGAGACGCAACGCAACACCCCUGUAAAUAAAUGACGGCCCUGCUGGAUAAAAGCAAACACAACACAGAAGAAGCUGUGAAGGUGUUGUAUUUGUUGCACUGCACGAGAAUGGCCACUUCAGUAAGUCAUCCUAUCUUUUCCUGUGGCUGAUUUCUGAACGACAGUAAAGACCUUCCCUGGAGAGACAGAGAGACAGAGAGGUAGGUGACUCUCACUACAAACACCGUUCUUUCACAAAGGCUACAUUCCCAAACACAGCAUCAUCUUGUAAGGAACUGAUUAAUACUAAAAAACAUUACUUAAUCUUAAUAGGCUCCGCAAGGCAUUAAAAACACAUCAGGUGGUUUGUUUGAAACAGCAAGUCACUCUGACCAGAAGGACCUUUCACUACUGGAAGGUCCUGGGGAUCUUAGACAAGCAAAAACAGCUGCAUAUAUAUAUCAACUGUACUUUACUGUUCCCCUGUGAUGGCUUCAACCAGGCAUCGAUGACUUACAUAAAAAGCUGCUGGUAAAAUCUCCAGAGUGAAAAUGUUACCAAAAAAAAAAAAAAAACCCUACAAACUACAGGUGCUUCCUUUUGACCUCCACAGUUCUAUUUUUGGAACCAGAUGGUUAAAUUGUUUCUAUAUAAAGCUGAUAAGUACAUUAGAGUUAUCUCAAGUGUACUUUUCUAAACCUACGCCUCUUCAGUUAUCUUGCCUUUGGCCAGAAGUGUCUUAUACGGGAGUGACUAUGAAAAAAAUAAUUCAAUUUCAGUCGGAUCUUUUCAGUUUUAUUUUGAUGGAGUGAAUGAACUUUACAUCUAAAUACAGGUUUAAAUAUAUUGUAUUAAUUGUAAAAUGUAAGAAAUCUAAAGGCGUCACAUGAUGAGGCUGUGGUGGAAACAGGCGAACAUGCUGCUGCUGCUGCUGCUGCUGUUGCUGUUG